rnacentral:lncRNA from 1 species
AAGCCCAAAUGAGGAUGCAAACCCCAGCUGUGCCUCUUCCUUGGUGUGUGACCCUGGUUUCCUUGCUGGGCAACUGUGAAGGUCUGAAAUCAUCUAGUGAAUGGAUUUGGUGCAGAGUAAGUGCAUGACAGUUGUUGAAGAUGACUACUGAUCAUUUGGGAUCCUUCACAUCUCCUCCACCAGGAAAGAAAGCUGGACUGCGCAGGUCGGGAAGAUUCCGGGGAGAUGCACAGCCUUUGCGUUCUGGGCUCAUCUGGCCUUCAACGUGUGAUUUUGAGAGUUGGAAGCGAGAAGAUUAUAACUCAGAAUGGCACGCGGGUGUGAAGCCGG